rnacentral:rRNA from 1 species
AGAUUGAACGCUGGCGGCAGGCCUAACACAUGCAAGUCGAGCGGCAGCACGGGUACUUGUACCUGGUGGCGAGCGGCGGACGGGUGAGUAAUGCCUAGGAAUCUGCCUGAUAGUGGGGGAUAACGUUCGGAAACGGACGCUAAUACCGCAUACGUCCUACGGGAGAAAGUGGGGGAUCUUCGGACCUCACGCUAUCAGAUGAGCCUAGGUCGGAUUAGCUAGUUGGUAGGUAAAGGCCUACCAAGGCUACGAUCCGUAACUGGUCUGAGAGGAUGAUCAGUCACACUGGAACUGAGACACGGUCCAGACUCCUACGGGGAGCAGCAGUGGGGAAUAGUUGGAC